AUACUUACCUGGCAGGGCCGAUACCUUGAUCAUGAAGGAGGUUCACCCAGAGUGAACCAUUGCACCCCGGCUGUGCUGACCUUUGCGAAUUCCCCAAAUAUGGGAAUCUUGACUGCAUAAUUUGUGGUAGUGGCGGACUAGUGGUUAGGGCAUUGCGCUU
ensembl:snRNA U1 U1 spliceosomal RNA